ensembl:snRNA U6 U6 spliceosomal RNA
GUGCUCACUUUGAUGGCACAUAUACCAAAACUGGAACUAUUCAGAGGUUAGCACGGCCCCUGCGCAAGGAUGACAUGCGUAUUUGUGAAGCAUUUUAUAUAUUU